UCAUAAGGUGUCAGCCGUCAUAAGCUUAAGAAAAGGAAGAUCUAGCCUAGUCCGUCUUCGGUUGUUCAUUGAUAUGCCAAAUAUUAAAGAAGAAGUCCCAGGUAGUGCUUUAGCUUUAUGAGUUUCGUCUGAGAAAAUUGCCUACGAUAUAUUAUAGUUUGGAUGCUACAACUUUUACCUAAUGCAGAUAUAUGGUGGAGGACGUUUCACUUUAUGACUCGGGUCCAACUGCCGGAAGGAGUAACACCACCAUCUGUUCAAACUACUCAAAAUGAACUUUUAGGGCGAAAGGCAUAAGAAAUGAAGCCACUUCGAAGCAAAAUGCUCAAAAUACAAAGCAGAGUUUGAUCUUUACUUUUCUAUGAUCAAGAAUGCGACGUUCCCUCUAAUUCCAGCAACCGAUGCCACUGCUGCAGGGCCUUCUGAAGGAGGAACCGGAUCUCAAACAGCCAAUGCUGAAGAAGGAACCGGACCUCAAACAGGCAAUGCGUGUUUGAGUUGCUUCUCUUGCUGUGUUUGAUCAGAGUUUUAACGUAGUCAUUCAGGCUAUAUAUAACUGAUGAUUGGAUGUUGUUAUUAUUCUACUUCUGAUUGAUCUCUAUACUUCUAAAACCCCGUCAUGUUUCAUGAGUAACCUAAAAUUGAUCGAACUUGUCAACUCUCUGUCUACUCAUAACCAUAGAUUCGAACACAAAAUUUCUUCACACUUCCUCCGACAUUGGAGUAACCUAAAAGGUUUGAAUAGUUUUGUGCAUUCACAAUGUACCUUUUGCUUU